rnacentral:rRNA from 1 species
GAUGAACGCUGGCGGCGUGCCUAAUACAUGCAAGUCGAGCGAACAGAUGAGAAGCUUGCUUCUCUGAUGUUAGCGGCGGACGGGUGAGUAACACGUGGGUAACCUACCUAUAAGACUGGGAUAACUCCGGGAAACCGGGGCUAAUACCGGCUAAUAUUUUGAAGCGCAUGGUUCAAUAGUGAAAGACGGUUUCGGCUGUCACUUAUAGAUGGACCAGCGCCGUAUUAGCUAGUUGGUCAGGUAACGGCAUACCAAGGCGACGAUACGUAGCCGACCUGAGAGGGUGAUCGGCCACACUGGAACUGAGACACGGUCCAGACUCCUACGGGAGGCAGCAGUAGGGAAUCUUCCGCAAUGGGCGAAAGCCUGACGGAGCAACGCCGCGUGAGUGAUGAAGGUCUUCGGAUCGUAAAACUCUGUUGUUAGGGAAGAACAAAUUUGUUAGUAACUGAACAAGUCUUGACGGUACCUAACCAGAAAGCCACGGCUAACUACGUGCCAGCCGCCGCAGUAA